ACUGAAUAAUGUUUGUAUUGACUUCCAACAGUUUAUCGUUAUGAAAAUAUUUGUAACAUGUCUGAUUUGUCA